CUGAGCCCCACUGCCUGGAGCCAAGCCUUCAGCUCAUAGUUCUCAUGGACACUGUAAGUCCAGGGCAUAACUACCAUGUGCAGAAUGCAUGGAGGGGCUGGCCACUCCCAUAGGCUCUGCCAACGGAUAGAUGCUCUUUAUUCUUAUUUGUGUGUGUGUGCCCGCCCACGCACCUACGGUAGUAUACACACAGCAUGCAUGCAGUGCUCAUGGAAGCCAGAAGAGGGUGUCAGGUCCCCUGCAACUGGAGUUCCAGGUGGUCGUGUACUGCCCUGUAGGUGUUGUGAGCCAAGCCUUAGUCCUCUCCAAGAACAGCAAGUGCUCUUAACUGCUCAUCCAUCACUCCAGCACCCUGAUUCCUGGGUACUCCCUUCACAGCACUGCCUCAGGACUCUCGUAACUAUAUUCUGUGAUGUCUGUCACAAGUCUCUCCCUGGUUCUAUUUCCCCUGCGUGGAGGACCACCUCUCAGAGAACCUUUCCGUGGCCUCGCUUGAGGCUCUUGCUUACUACUGACCGCUGA
rnacentral:lncRNA from 1 species